rnacentral:tRNA from 1 species
GGGCCAGUGGUGGAAUUGGCAGACACACGACACUUAAAAUGUUGCGUCCCGGGAGGGACAUGUGGGUUCGAGUCCCACCUGGCCCA